rnacentral:lncRNA from 1 species
AUUGGCCACUGGAACCCGGUCAUAUUCGUGUUUUACAUCUGAGCCAUAAAAACCAGCAAAUUACCUGUUGGGUUGUUUUAGCAAGGAUUCUUGCUUGCUGAUGACAUUUCCCCUGGUGAUAUGCACCAAUUGGAAUUCUCCAGGGUGAUUGCUAUUAUCACAUCAUCAGUAGUUUAUCUUGGGAGCAUUGGGGCUUUGCUGUUUGAAUAACCAAGCCCGGGAGCCUGUGCCAUGGGGGGAAAUGUUUAGUCUGAUGAAGAGAACCCCGUGAGUCCAGCAUCUUCUCGAGACCACGGCUUCUGGCCAGAGCUUAUUUAAGAAAGCAGAAGUAAAAAGGACUCAUCCAUCAGCUGAUGAAUGUCUACCAUUUAACUAAGAGUUCCUGCCCAACUGGCCUAGCUCUCAGCCUGGACCAGUGGUGUCUGGGUGAAGGCAAAGACGGAGGACCUGUCCUGCGGUCACGAGUACCAAAGGCAUUGGAUCUACACCCCCAAGGCCAGGAAUCUGCCCCAAGGGCCUCUCAGGAAGGAGCUGUGUCCAGAGGGUAGUAUAGCCACUGUUGCGGUGGUGGCGGGGAGGGGACCAGAAGAAUUUUCAGAAGACUGACCCAGUACAGCAGAGCCAGGAGAACCAGAAAGAAGUGGUCUCAGGGACCUGAGGACAAUGGGGACCCCUGGAACAAACCAUGCCUGAAGCUGGCAAGACUCUCUUUGAACUUUUUAAUAAUUGGUUCAUUCAAUGAUGUUACCUUAGACCAAGCUAAGUGCUCUAUCAUUUAC